GACAGAGGAGCCAAGCGUUGUCCGGAUUGACUGGGCGUAAAGCGCACGCAGGCGGCCCGGCGCGUGGGGUGUGAAAGCUGGCGGCUUAACUGCCAGACGCCAUCCCAUACGGCUGGGCUCGAGCCCUGCAGAGGUCCAUGGAAUUGCCGGUGUAGUGGUGAAAUGCGUAGAGAUCGGCAGGAACACCCAGGGGGAAACCAGUGGACUGGGCAGGACGCUGACGCUCAGGUGCGAAAGCGUGGGGAGCGAACCGG
rnacentral:rRNA from 1 species